rnacentral:sRNA from 1 species
CACGAAGGAAGUUCUGUUAAGCCCGUUCACGUCCUGUGAACGGGCUUAACAGAACGACCUGCAUUCUGCAGG